GACGAACGCUGGCGGCGUGCCUAAUACAUGCAAGUAGAACGCUGAAGAGAGGAGCUUGCUCUUCUUGGAUGAGUUGCGAACGGGUGAGUAACGCGUAGGUAACCUGCCUUGUAGCGGGGGAUAACUAUUGGAAACGAUAGCUAAUACCGCAUAACAAUGGAUGACACAUGUCAUUUAUUUGAAAGGGGCAAUUGCUCCACUACAAGAUGGACCUGCGUUGUAUUAGCUAGUAGGUGAGGUAAUGGCUCACCUAGGCGACGAUACAUAGCCGACCUGAGAGGGUGAUCGGCCACACUGGGACUGAGACACGGCCCAGACUCCUACGGGAGGCAGCAGUAGGAAAUCUUCGGCAAUGGGGGCAACCCUGACCGAGCAACGCCGCGUGAGUGAAGAAGGUUUUCGGAUCGUAAAGCUCUGUUGUAAGUCAAGAACGGGUGUGAGAGUGGAAAGUUCACACUGUGACGGUAGCUUACCAGAAAGGGACGGCUAACUACGUG
rnacentral:rRNA from 1 species